rnacentral:lncRNA from 1 species
AUAGCUUAGGGCCAAAUCACCUUCUUCUUCUUCUUCUUCUUGACCUUCAUCCUCCGAAAAGCACCGCCGCGAAAACAAGAUUAGAAAUCGAUCGGGAAUCGUCUUCGUCUCAAUCUCAGUUUGUGCCUUAUAUGAAAGUAGAUAGAGAAAUCUGAUGAAGUUCCGCCGCAGGCUCAAUCUCUGGCUCCGUUUCCGAUCUCCUCCUUCGCGGCGAGUCUGAAAUCGGUCGUCACCGGGUCGUAACUCUCCGUGCCAUCUCGUCUUCCUCUGCGUCUUCAAAUCGUUGGCUCGUCAAGCUCUGUCGUGCCUUCCUCCCUGACCUCUCCUCCUCUCCAAACGUCGACAAACCAAACCGGGGUCGAUCCGAUCUGUCGAACCUCAAAGGGAUCGAUUCCUAAACCAAGUUUCUUAUAUUUGCACGACUGGUCCUUUAACUUUUGUCUGUCUGUAAUUUGGCCCUAAAAAUUGCAAAUUUGCACAACUGCUUUUCACUUAGGGUCCACAGUUCUAAGUAUGCAAUAUAACCCCUACUUUAUGAAGAUUAGUAUGCAAAUCCAAUCCAAUCUUAAAAUGAAAAGCUAAAACCAUGAAAUACAUUAUUAUCUUUUAAAUAUUAGCCAUAGGUACGACGA